rnacentral:tRNA from 1 species
GCGUAGCUCAGUUGGCUAGAGCAGCUGAUUUGUAAUCAGCAGGUCGUGGGUUCGAGUCCCUCCGCCG